GCUUGCUGGUCUAGUGGUAUGAUUCUCGCUUCGGCUGGGAGAGGUCACGGGUUCGAUUCCCGUGCAAGCG
rnacentral:tRNA from 1 species